UCUCAGGCAAAUGAAAACAGCACAUGUAAGAAACUUUAGGACUUCCAUAACAAAGAAACUAAACGAAAGCAAGCAUUAUGAGAACCUUAGCAGGUAUCUACUGACAUAUGCAAGCAGGGCUUUCCCGACAAAACAGAACUGUGUGCUCUUGCUAUUGCCUAUAAAGAGUAGGAAAUUCUGGUGUAUGCACACUGCAGGUUCAUUUUCAUCCUUACAAAGACAACACUGAAUGAGGCCCUGCAACAAGUCAUUCGGAGGUAUUACUUCCUCCCACUUAUCCUGGUUCUUCUGCCCCGUAUUAAAGAACUGGGGAGGAGGGGGGAAGCAGAAGAGAGGACACUUACUGAAAAUUUACUUUGUCCACUUGAAACUUGGUUUCAAAAAUUCCUGAUGUCAAAACUCUGCAUCUGAGAAGAUCCUAGAGCAAAAAGGAGAGCAACUGAUUCAACAUAUACUUUAUAAUUCUUCAUGUAUCCACCAAGAAAAAGAAAACUUUUUACUUUGUUACAUCAUUUAUCAUAAAUCUCAGCUACAAAACACAAUGUUUUUAGUCAUCACCGUAAGCUAUGUGUAUUUGCCAGUGAUAAAACAUAGCACGCAUGCUAUGGUUGUAUAAAUCUGCACCAGUGGAGGUGAGCACUGUUUCAUAGGUGCUACGCUGGCACUGUUGCUAGGAAAAUAUUGUCCACAUAGUCCAUCUUUCAUCUGUAUGAACAGAUGGAAGUUGGACAGUGUCAAAUCCAACCUAUAUAGUGGGUGUGACAGGACAGUCCAGCCAAGACUGACAGCACGCUCCAUGGUCCUCAGACUGGUAUGGAAUGGAGUCUGCUAUUAUUGCGUUGCAUAGUAAAGGCUGUCUUCUUCAGAUGCAGUUCAAUGGUAAAAUACCACUCUGAAUUCACUUGAAGACUUUAUAACUUAGGACUUAAAGUUUGGUGUUCUCCACAGCAGAUCCGAACAGCCAAACUGUAAUAUCUGGAGUACGUAGGCAAGAUUGUAAAAUAGAACAGAUUAUACAAAAAUGUAUGUGCACAAUACAAGCUCUGUUCUUAGCACACAGGGAUCAGACUGGUUAGUCAAAGUCAAAACCACACAAAAUCCAAAGGUUAUACAACACUGUUAAAUCAUUAAACAAAGUGGCUACAUUUUAACAUCAGUAGUAAAUUAUUGUUGUCUGGCUAUUUUAAUACUCAUAUUGAAAUACAUAUAUUUAAAUAUUGCUCUCUCUUGAUCCCUGGGUUUCAAAUAGUUUGAAAAUUCUAAUGCUGUAAGACACAGAAACAAGUUUGGAAAAGCGCAUUCUCUGGAGUUCUGCACCACUAGAAACCAAAACAAGUGUGACAGGAAAACAGCCAACCAAAAUCCACUGCGUACCUCAGGAACAAAAAGAGCAAAAAUCUCUAGGAACCCAUGGGUGAAGUUUGACUGCAGUGUUGGCACAAGACUCAGACACCACAAACCAGACUUCAGAACUCAGCCCUGAUGCUUCCAGGCACCUUCAUCACCUGCCCCGUGCCAAGUAUGAGGCAGUAUGACACAGGCCCCAGACACCUUUUAUUUUCAUAUUAAUAGGAGAGUAGCUGGAAAUGCUUUCAGUUAACUUCACGGAUAACAUUAAUGAUUAAUGAGUCUUCAAACGAAUAUAUUUUAGUUUCCUUUUCAAUUCCUGUGCAUUUGUUUUAUGAAGCAGAAAUGACAGUGAAAGGGGAGUUUUUCCUCCUAAUCUCCAUACAAAGUACUUUGUUAACACCAGUUUCAGAAUCAUGUGGAGAUUUCAGAAGUUGGAUGAUGCCUCAAAAAUUUCACACAGAACAUUUCACACUCAUAAAGAUGUGGAGGUGAUCACUGCAACUUCUUGUACUGAACUCACCUAUGCAUAACACUUCAUGCAAGCUUCCACAAAAGACUAUUUUUAGGCCUAUGAUUUCCUUGAAAAAACAUCAGCCGUGUAGGAGAAGCAGUGCUGCACUUGAGAUGAAAUCCAACAGCAACGUUCAUGCCAGGUAAAACAAGUUGGAAUGGAAUAAAUGUAUCUUCUUCCCCCCAGAAAUGAGCUCCAACACUCACUAACAUCUGAUGCUUGUGACAAUACAAGUUCAAAAAGGAAGUCUUUCACCAUGUGAUAGUUACCAGUGAACCUACACGGCUCCUCAGUAGCAUUUGAAGGAAACUAAGCAAAGUAAUAAUGCUAAACGAACAUUUCCUCCUGUGUGUAUCCCUUUUAAUUAAAAAAUAAUCUGCUCUAUCAACUUUAGAAUGGGAUAAAGACAUUAAAAAGUUUGAUUUUUCUUUGCACGAACAUUAUAAAGAAGCAUCAUUCUCUCAGUUGAGCAACUGGAACAAUAAAUACAGUCUAAAAUAAGCAGCAGUAGUGGAGCACAAGAGUUCAGAAGAGUUCAAUACACUCUGUUCAGAGAUGUUUGUGUCAUUGUUAGUCAGGAGCGAAUAACUUAUCCAGUAAAUGAAACUAAUAAUCAAGUGAGGUGAGAACAAAAGCUUAAUUCAAAAUGAAAACAAAUUCGGCAUCAUUAAUUUUUAUUUUUAGCUCUUAUUAUGCUCUACCCAAAACAGAAGUACUACCUUGUGUGCUGAGUUCACUGCUGUCAGAUUGUGCUAAGCCUGCUGGAGAAAUGCCCAUCCACUGUGUCAGCAACGAAUUCACAGUGAGAAACAUGCAAGUGACCUUGGUGAAAUAACUCACACAAAACUACCAAACCAUGAAACCCAAUUUUAUACUGAGAGUAACUUUUGCACCAAGAUACAAAGUCCCAUUUUUUCUUCUUGGAUUUUUUUUGCAGAAAUUCUAUGGGAAAGCCGUUUUCCAGAACGCAAAUCAAUCAUUCAGCACUGCUGCCAAUUCUCACUUAGGGCCAGAUUCUGAACGUGACUAAGUAACAGUUACUACCCUGCAAAACCCUGACACGCAGGAUGGGAGCUUCUGUCUGUACCACUUAUUAAAAGAAAAUACAAUUACUGCUAUGCUGCCAAGAGAUGUGUUAAUAAAAGAGAUUCCAGGUCAUCUGUAGCCAGCAACGCUGCCGAGGAAGCAGCGCUAGGACAGCAGCAGAUGCGUCCCUGGGAUAUUAAAAUGCAAGAUAUUAAUAAAAAUGUAAACAACCCGAAAUUAAAGCCACAUUUUAUUUUUGGAUCCUUUUCCUCAUCUCAGGGAGAGAAACAGACAAAUGAGACUUUGGACAAUGAGACUUUGGACACACAGCUUUGUAAGAAUCCAGUUCUGCUAAUUGCACGGGAUGUGCUCGGAAAGCAGGACUCACACGGGCACACAGAAGCUUUCUUUAGCUCCCCCGUAAUGUAAUUAAGUCAUACUCAUACCACCAAUUAUUUCAAAUUUUUAGCAAGUUUAUUACGCCAAAACUGCAUCCCAGUUUUCCCUUCAGUUAUGGAGCUUUUCUCAUAUAGGAACAAGUGCCCCGGUUUUGCUUUAUUCCUCUUUGGGGGGAGCUUCCUGAACCACCAAUGCUGCCGCAAGACCAAGAGCUGCAGCGUGCGCUGGAAAGGCUCGUAACACAUUGAAACCUCAGCCUCUGGAAACAGCAAACUUCCCCACACGGGGAAGAACGGGGAAGGGGAAAUCAGAGCACCUUUCCUUGUGCAUUUCCUGACAGUCUUCUCAAUACAGAAUAACCCGACGUUCCAGCCUUUGUGAUUUGAUGAAAUGGUUGACAGGCAAAAACAAAACUUGCUCUGUCAGGAUGGGGUUUUGUUUUCAGCCUACGGUAACAACAGAAAUGUCUCUUCAAUCUGACAACACACCUAUACUCAAAAAGCUGCAUUUCCAUCAGCUUCUUUUUUCUGUCAACAUAACCUGAAUUUGUAUACAAAACGUCUCUUCUGAGACAUACUAAGAUCCCAUCUUUAGUGCUGGUAGACGCUGCACAUAAAUUCAGAUUCUCAAAGCCAACUAAACAGAACAUUUGUUUGUAAGUUCCUUCCCCCCGCAGCAGUACGGAAUGCUGCCUUUGUGAAGCUUCUUGCCUCUGACAGCCUUGAGAUACUCUACAGACAGGAAAUCACACUCACAAGUUCUGCCAGCCUUAAUUCCCACUGCACUUUCUGCAUCUACCAUUGCAUCCCAAAAUGCACAUCUUAGAUUCAUCUCAUCUUAAAGACAGAGGAAAGGGGUGGGGAAAAAAAGACCAACAAAAAAACCCAAGGCACACGUGGAGUCUGUCAGUUGCCCAGAGUCCCUCAAGUCAGUGGAAAUGGAAUUUUCACUUCCUCUGAGUCAUGCGUUUCUAUCAAGAUAUUACUAAGAAUUACCCGCACUCACAUCUACCCUGAUCACCUUUAAAGCAGCCUUUACAACUCACACUUCUACUUCUGAAAAUAAAUUGGUAUUUGUUCACUGAUCUUCCUAAAGAACCAACUGUACAAACGAGGGGCAGAUUUUUAUUAUUUAUUUACACUCUCUCAGGGGCUCCAGAACGGAUCCCAAGCUCUCUCAAAGCUGAAGUUUACCUCAAUAUUAAUAGUGUUUAUAAAACAAGAGCACAUUUUUAAUUUCUCAGAACAGAACAUGCUUAGUUCUACUACACUCCCUUUUUAGUCUUUGCCAUACUCCACGAUGUGCCUAGAGAACGGCUUUCUAAAUGCUCA